UACGUAGGGGGCAAGCGUUGUCCGGAUUUAUUGGGCGUAAAGCGCGCGUAGGCGGCGCGGUAUGUCGUGCGUGAAAUCUCCCGGCUUAACUGGGAGGGGCCGUGCGAAACUGCCGGGCUUGAGGUCAGAAGGGGAAAGUGGAAUUCCGGGUGUAGUGGUGGAAUACGCAGAUAUCCGGAGGAACACCAGCGGCGAAGGCGGCGCACUGGACCACAACUGACGCUGAGGCGCGAAAGCUAGGGGAGCAAACAGG
rnacentral:rRNA from 1 species